rnacentral:lncRNA from 1 species
AUCUGAAGAUUCUCCUGCAACAGAAAAAUUGUGCAUACAAGUGUAAAGACUCUGAACAGCAACUAACAAAAGUGUGAAGUUAUGUUUGGUCCUGUAUAGAAGGAGAUAAAAAGGUAUUCUUGGGAGCCAACACCUUUCUAGAAACCUUGUAUAUUCAAACUGUCACCUCUUGGACUCUUAGAUUAGAGAAAUCAACUCAUGCAAUUCACAAUUUCAACUCAUUGUUGAACUGUCAGAUGAUACUUUGUGGCGUUAUUCUCUUCCACCAUGGAUCCUCAAAUUUCCAAUAACUCUUAGAAGGAAUGA